rnacentral:tRNA from 1 species
UGUGGCUCAGUGGUAGAGCGCUUGCCUAGCAUGUAUGAGGCACUGGGUUCGAUCCUCAGCA